UUGUUCGAGCUGUCGCGAAAAGAGUGAUUAUCAUGUUUUCUGACAGUUAUAAUGUUGAUAACAUCAAACUAACAAAUAGCAGAAGAAACUGAAUACACCAAAAAAUACCACUGACUCAUUGGGAAUCUGUGUGACACACAUUGUGUGUGUUAUGACUGAGGCUGGAGUGAAAGGCAGACGAGGUGGUGCGGAUCCAAACGCAGUUUUAACUUUCAUUUAACUGAACAAACAAACUCAAAGGAAAACCCACGAUGGGGAAAUAAACAUAAACAAAGAACUCGGGCAGGGAACACAGACCAGGAAUAGCACGGUGACAACAUCAAACAUAAUUCACUAACAUUCAUUCAACGAUCGACAGGGGAAUGGCGAACAAACAGGGUUUAAAUACACUGGAGACAUGAUGAAGACAAACUACAAUCAGAGAUGAUGAUGAAGAUGAAGAUGUGUGACGGAUCAAAUGUGGAUCAUCAGAAGAUCAAUCAUGAGCACAAACAGAAACACUCACAAUCUAAUGAAUCAACUGAGAAAACAUCAAUUAAACUUCAGCGUCGAAACAGCAAAGAUAUAAAUCCAGAAUUCUCUCAUGAUCCACACAAAUCUGAGAGUCAUUCAAUGAGAGAUAUUGACGUCCAGACGGCAUUCUCAUCAAAUGCUUUGAGAGACUAAUCAGAGAUCACAUCUGCUCUGUGCUGCCCGCCUCACUGGACCAACAACCGCUCCACUGAUGAUGUCAUUGAUCUACACUACACACUGAUCUCCCCCACCUGGAGAAAAGGAACACAUAUGUGAGAAUGCUGUUUGUAGACUACAGCUCAUCAUUCAACACCAUAGUGUCCUCCAAGCUUGAUGAGAAUCUCAGUGGUUCUCAGCCCACUCCUGUAUUCACUGUACACACAUGACUGUGUGGCAACACAUAGCUCCAAUGCCAUCAUUAAGUUUGCUGAUGAUACGACGGUGUUAUGUCUGAUCACUGACAAUGAUGAAACUACAGAGAGGAGGUGCACACUCAGACACACUGGUGUCAGGAGCACAACCUCUCCCUCAACGUCAGUAAGACCAAGGAGCUUGUGAUGGACUUCAGGAGGAAAGACGGAGAACACAGCCCCAUCACCAUUAAUGGAGCACCGGUGGAGAGAGUCAGCAGCUUCAAGUUCCUCGGUGUCCACAUCACUGAGGAACUCACAUGGUCCGUCCACACUGAGGCCGUUGUGAAGAAGACUCACCAGCGCCUCUUCUUCCCCCAAACAAUCAGACUAUUGAACUCUUGAUCUCUCACGAUACAUAUAUCAGCACUUUAUUAAUCUUAUACUGGACACAUUUCAUACUUCUCUUAAUAACAC